rnacentral:rRNA from 1 species
UACGUAGGGUCCGAGCGUUGUCCGGAGUUACUGGGCGUAAAGCGCGCGCAGGCGGCUCGGCAAGCAUGGCGUGAAAGCCCCCGGCUCAACCGGGGAGAGUCGUCGUGGACUGCCGAGCUUGAGGGCGGCAGGGGUUGGUGGAAUUCCCGGUGUAGUGGUGAAAUGCGUAGAGAUCGGGAGGAACACCCGUGGCGAAGGCGGCCAACUGGGCCGACCCUGGACGCUGAGGCGCGAAGGCGUGGGGAGCGAACGGGAUUGAGAA